AAAUUAACGAGAAUUUACAACACUUAACCGAUUCGUGGCCACUGCCGCGCCCAGCGCGUCAUUUAAAAAGAUUCAGUAGGGCCGAUGACGCGCCAGGCGCGGCAUACAAGGAUUGUUAAAAAACACGUUAAAACUAAUUUAUUAUACUGUAAUUACAAUUCC